UACGUAGGGCGCAAGCGUUAUCCGGAAUUAUUGGGCGUAAAGAGCUCGUAGGCGGUUUGUCGCGUCUGCCGUGAAAGUCCGGGGCUCAACUCCGGAUCUGCGGUGGGUACGGGCAGACUAGAGUGAUGUAGGGGGAGACUGGAAUCCUGGUGUAGCGGUGAAAUGCGCAGAUAUCAGGAGGAACACCGAUGGCGAAGGCGGUCUCUGGGCAUUAACUGACGCUGAGGAGCGAAAGCAUGGGGAGCGAACA
rnacentral:rRNA from 1 species